UUUGAAUUUUUCGUUCCCUCCUUAUAGCAAUUUUCUCUGCAUCAUUGCCUUUGGCCUCCAUCAUGUGAUUUGCUUUGCUCUGUGAUUUUCUAACAGAGUAGAAUGCGAGCAGAUAUGCCCUAUAUCACUCUCAAGUGGAAACUUGUAGAAGCAAUGAAGAUUUUUGCCAGACUAUUUGCUCUUGUAGCUUUGCCAUGGAGAGAGUCUACUUCUUUAGCUUGAGUCUUAGAAUGGAAAGAAUCAUGGAACAGAACUCAACUUCUAUUACCACACACUGGGUAAGACCCAGACUACUGACUGGAGGUCACCAACAAAGGCUCUAUAGUUCUUCUGAGAUGAAUAGCAGAAGACAGUGCAACAAAUUAAUACAAAUGAAGUCAUUCCUGAGUGACUCCAUCUGCUUUAGAAAUAAGGCUCGGACAAUAAUGUGGCCAAGAUCCAGAUAAUUAGGCCUGACUCCAAAUGAAGGCACACAGGAUGUUGGAAAAUAAGAAGGACGUGGCAAGGGGGAGCUCUGUGGCUUCCACACAAGAACAAACGUUGGAUCCUCACCGUCCCUCCUUGUGUGCUCGAGACACAAAGGAUAGAUGAAGCCCUUGGCUUAGAAAUCAUUUGUACAUGUGAUGCUUUUCUUCCCCGGCUGUGAAAUGCUGCUAAAUUAAUGGUUCACAUAAAGAUUUUCCUGUGCCACCUCCUCCAGUCACCUGUGAACCACAGAUAAAUAUUGAGUUCACAAGGGGAACGUCUCAACCACCAAGUUCAAAUGGUCAGUUAGGAACACAUGUGAGUGGCGCUGGCAGGCGGGGCCGAGUGGCCAUCAUUUUCAUCUUUGCCAAAAGCAUCCAACAAACAGGACUAAUCCAUCCCCUCGUCUUAUAACAAUGGAAAUCUGUAAAGAGUACACAUAGGAGAUUCAGAAAAGAAAGAUAAAGAGUAAGGUUCAGAGACGCCAAUAUCACAGAAUAAAUCAUCUUUGGUGCUAGAAUGAAAAUCUUAAGUGUUCUGACAGAAAAGAACCAUGAUCUCCGAAGUAGAGAAAAAGAACGCGGGAUAGCUGAACAUGAAUCGCAAAGGGAAUUCUUAUUUCCAGAUCCGGGAAAUGGAAAUCAGCUUCAGUCUUGUCCGUCAAGAUCCUACCGCGUGAAUGCUUCUAAGAUAUACCUAUUUAGUGAAUUUCUAACCAGACAUGAAAGGACUAUUCUGUGCAGCCUGGACCCUGCAUCCAUGCUUUUACUCUGUCUCAGCUUGUUCUGUGAUUAACCCUCAACUUUUCACCCAGAGCCUCUCACUGGUUUAUAGAGAGUCUCCUCUGUCAUGUACCAGCAUCAUGCAGAGGAACCUGCCAGCUCUUUGUUGUCUCUGGCUUGACUUCAGGCUCAAGAGCUACCCCUUGAGCUGUCCUGGAAAAGGUGGCCAGGUAGAUCCAGCACCUCCCCACAUACUCAGCAGACAUUAGAAAACUGUGCAUGAAAUGCCAAUUCGUUUAUAAACUGGGAACUGUAACAUAUUAUGGUGAUGUACUAGUUUACCUAUGUACACAGUCAAUGCAAUGCUUUUUACUUAGUCCAAGAUGUAAUUCCCUAAACAAUGUAAGGAUAACUUUAUAGGGAAAAGGACUUAAAUUUGGUAUUAAAAGACAUCAGCCUAGAGUAAGGUUUCUGCCCAGCUGCCCAGCUUCUUUCU